rnacentral:lncRNA from 1 species
CUGCCAACCCGGAAGGAGCCCGGAGGGGCCCGGGCGGCCAGGGCGCCCCCGCCAGGAGGCCCGCCAGGUGUCCACCUGAGCCCCACGCCCUGCGCCGCGGGGCCCUUUUGGGGGCGGGGUGCCAGCUCCGAGGUGUCCUCCCACGGGCUGUAGACUGGGAAACUGAGGCCCGGGCCACGGUCCCAGACGCAGCCGGGACCCGAACCCACCUCACCUGAGCGAAUGAUAUCCGGGACUCAUCCUUUUUCGACACCUUUGCGGGAUCCAGCCCUCCAAGGAAAGCUUCCUGAGCAGUGCGCGCCACGUGUAUUGGGCACCUCACCGCGGCCACUUCACAUCCUAUCUCAGGUGGAGAAACUAAGCCACAGAAAGGAGCUGUCAUUUACCUAAAGCACCGUGGCAGGGGUUUGGCAGAGCCAGGAUUUGUACCCAGAUCGCCUGACUUCGGAGAGUAACAGCUCUUAACCACAGCACUUCGGUCUAUGCCUUGAUUUCACCAUAUGUAACAAGCUGUGCCACUUUGCAUUCCCACCAGCAGCACGCAAGCGUUCGAAUUUCUCCGCACGCUCCCCAACAGGACAAGAGCUUGCCGUGUUGCCCCAGGCUGGUCUCAAACUCCUAGCCUCAAGCAAACUUCCUGUCUCGGCCUUUCAAAACCCUGAGAUUACAAGCAUAAGAAAAGAAAAUCUUGUAAGAUGAAAGCUGAAGGAUGAGAGCAAUUAAUUGAUGAAGUAUGAUGAUCCAGGUGUCCCUGGGUGAAGAAACAACCUCUACAAAGGCCCUGAGGGUCUCGCUCAUCACCAGGCUGGAGUACAGUGACAUGAUCA